UCGCUCUUGUUUCUUUUCAAAUUCUAUAAAUCUUUUGCCUUUUACUAAAGAUUUCUGUGGGGAGGAACACCAAGAGUCUAUCUAAAUUUGUUUCGUUCUCUGUGAAAGUGGGG